rnacentral:rRNA from 1 species
UGCCAGACUCCUACGGGAGGCAGCAGUGGGGAAUAUUGCACAAUGGGGGAAACCCUGAUGCAGCGACGCCGCGUGAAGGAAGAAGUAUCUCGGUAUGUAAACUUCUAUCAGCAGGGAAGAAAACAGACGGUACCUGACUAAGAAGCCCCGGCUAACUACGUGCCAGCAGCCGCGGUAAUACGUAGGGGGCAAGCGUUAUCCGGAUUUACUGGGUGUAAAGGGGGCGCAGACGGCGAUGCAAGCCAGGAGUGAAAGCCCGGGGCCCAACCCCGGGACUGCUCUUGGAACUGCGUGGCUGGAGUGCAGGAGGGGCAGGCGGAAUUCCUGGUGUAGCGGUGAAAUGCGUAGAUAUCAGGAGGAACACCGGUGGCGAAGGCGGCCUGCUGGACUGCAACUGACGUUGAGGCCCGAAAGCGUGGGGAGCAAACAGGAUUAGAUACCCGAGUAAU